CCCAAGUGAUAAGAUACAAAGUUUUUAGUUCAAAGUCUGUUGCAGAAAUCCUUCUAUUCAAGAGAGACAUGAAGAAAGUGGUAUUCUUAAUCUUACUUUUGGUUAUUGCAAAUGAGUCCACAGUGGAAGCAAUGGCCUGUACGGGAGUUCCUGAAUGCGUAGGAUAUCUUCCUCCAUUUUGCUUCUUUCGAUGUUAUAAUGGGCAAUGUGUCAAGAUGUGCAAGAAAGAGUCAAUAGCAGAAGAACCUACCUGCCAAACCCAUAAAGACUGCGUAAGAGAAAUGGUACGUCAUCCAUAUUGCUUCUCUCGGUGUGAUAAUGGAAAAUGCAGUACAAUGUGCGAGAGGAAGUCUACAGAGAAACUCAGCAAUGAAAGUCCUUGAAUUGCUUCUUUAUUAGAGUUUUUUCUUGUUUUCCUAGUCAUCCCAAAAAUGAAGAAUUAUGAAAUGUGUUAGCAGCAAAGAUCUUGUGAUAAUUCAGUUUGAAUAAUAGUAAAAAAUAAAUUGAAGACUGA